GACGAACGCUGGCGGCGUGCUUAACACAUGCAAGUCGUACGGUAAGGCCCUUUCGGGGGUACACGAGUGGCGAACGGGUGAGUAACACGUGAGUAACCUGCCCACAACUUUGGGAUAACGCUAGGAAACUGGUGCUAAUACUGGAUAUGUGCUCCUGCUGCAUGGUGGGGGUUGGAAAGCUCCGGCGGUUGUGGAUGGACUCGCGGCCUAUCAGCUUGUUGGUGGGGUAGUGGCCUACCAAGGCGGCGACGGGUAGCCGGCCUGAGAGGGUGACCGGCCACAUUGGGACUGAGAUACGGCCCAGACUCCUACGGGAGGCAGCAGUGGGGAAUAUUGCACAAUGGGCGCAAGCCUGAUGCAGCAACGCCGCGUGCGGGAUGACGGCCUUCGGGUUGUAAACCGCUUUCAGCAGGGACGAAGCUUUUUGGGACGGUACCGGCAGAAGAAGCACCGGCGAACUACGG
rnacentral:rRNA from 1 species